rnacentral:rRNA from 1 species
UACGGAGGGUGCAAGCGUUAUCCGGAUUCACUGGGUUUAAAGGGUGCGUAGGCGGGCAGGUAAGUCCGUGGUGAAAUCUCUGAGCUUAACUCAGAAACUGCCAUGGAUACUAUUGUCUUGAAUAUUGUGGAGGUAAGCGGAAUAUGUCAUGUAGCGGUGAAAUGCUUAGAUAUGACAUAGAACACCAAUUGCGAAGGCAGCUUACUACACAGUCAUUGACGCUGAGGCACGAAAGCGUGGAGAUCAAACAGG